rnacentral:rRNA from 1 species
ACGGGGAGGAGCCCAGAGCCUGAAUCAGUGUGUGUGUUAGUGGAAGCGUCUGGAAAGGCGCGCGAUACAGGGUGACAGCCCCGUACACAAAAAUGCACAUACUGUGAGCUCGAUGAGUAGGGCGGGACACGUGGUAUCCUGUCUGAAUAUGGGGGGACCAUCCUCCAAGGCUAAAUACUCCUGACUGACCGAUAGUGAACCAGUACCGUGAGGGAAAGGCGAAAAGAACCCCGGCGAGGGGAGUGAAAAAGAACCUGAAACCGU